rnacentral:rRNA from 1 species
AGCACCCGAAGUCGUGAGUCUAACCCGCAAGGGAGGGCCACGCCGACGGUGAGCUCGGUGAUUGGGACUAAGUCGUAACAAGGUAGCCGUAGGUGAACCUGCAGAAGGAUCA